GGGAGAGAUGCUGUGUGCUCUCGGGAGGGCGGCACUUGUGCUUGUCAAUUUUGGGAGAGAAAAAGCAAGAGGAGACUCUCCUGUCUCCUGCCUGGUGCCCAGCAGCUGCUCGGCAACAAAUACCUGCUGACUGACUAAAGAGCUGACAGCUCUUGCUUACCAAGUGCUUGCCGUGUGUCACACACCAUUGGAGCUUCCUUGCCAGGGGCAGAUGGAUGGAAAUAAACCAGUGCACAACCCCAGACCUUCCAAGCAGUGACAGACACCACGCAGAAAUGAGCUCGCUGUGCAUGGUGGUGACCAAGCAGAGCUGUUCCAGAUGGGGUCCAGGUGUAUAUCCCUGAGGAAGGGACAGCAGAAACCUCCUGGAAGGAUGAACAGAAAGGACCCAGAAGGAUGGAGUUUUCAGAACGAAGAGAGAGAGAGAGAGAGAAAUUUUAUUAGGUUUCCCCUGGCUGAAAGGAGACGAGCUCCAGACCGGCCCAGAGGACAUGGCAGAUGCCACU